rnacentral:rRNA from 1 species
AGAGUUUGAUCCUGGCUCAGAACGAACGCUGGCGGCGUGCUUAACACAUGCAAGUCGAACGGGAUCCAGAGCUUGCUCUGGUGAGGGUGGCGCACGGGUGAGUAACGCGUGGAUAACCUGCCCUGGUAUCCGGAAUAACAUCUCGAAAGGGGUGCUAAUACCGGAUAAGCCUACGGAGCCUUCGGUCUCUGCAGGAAAAGGUGGCCUCUAUUUAUAAGCUACCGUAUCAGGAUGGGUCCGCGUACCAUUAGCUAGUUGGUGGGGUAAUGGCCUACCAAGGCGACGAUGGUUAGCUGGUCUGAGAGGAUGAUCAGCCACACUGGAACUGAGACACGGUCCAGACUCCUACGGGAGGCAGCAGUGGGGAAUUUUGCGCAAUGGGGGAAACCCUGACGCAGCAACGCCGCGUGAGUGAUGAAGGCUUUCGGGUCGUAAAGCUCUGUCAGAGGGGAAGAAAUGAGAUUGGCUAAUAUCCAAUUUUCUUGACGGUACCCUCAAAGGAAGCACCGGCUAACUCCGUGCCAGCAGCCGCGGUAA